rnacentral:rRNA from 1 species
UGCUGCAUGGCUGUCGUCAGCUCGUGUCGUGAGAUGGUUGGGUUAACGUCCCGUAACGAGCGCAACCUUGUCCUUAGUUACCAGCACGUUAUGGUGGGCACUCUAAGGAGACUGCCGGUGACAAACCGGAGGAAGGUGGGGAUGACGUCAAGUCAUCAUGGCCCUUACGGCCUGGGCUACACACGUGCUACAAUGGUCGGUACAAAGGGUUGCCAAGCCGCGAGGUGGAGCUAAUCCCAUAAAACCGAUCGUAGUCCGGAUCGCAGUCUGCAACUCGACUGCGUGAAGUCGGAAUCGCUAGUAAUCGUGAAUCAGAAUGUCACGGUGAAUACGUUCCCGGGCCUU